rnacentral:rRNA from 1 species
UACGGGGGGUGCAAGCGUUAUUCGGAAUUACUGGGCGUAAAGAGCGCGUAGGCGGUCUUUUAAGUCAGGUGUGAAAGCCCGGGGCUCAACCCCGGAAGUGCACUUGAAACUAAGGGACUUGAGUAUGGGAGAGGGAAGUGGAAUUCCUGGUGUAGCGGUGAAAUGCGUAGAUAUCAGGAGGAACACCGGUGGCGAAGGCGACUUCCUGGACCAAUACUGACGCUGAGGCGCGAAGGCGUGGGGAGCAAACAGGAUUAGAAACCCGGUAGUCC